UUCGCAAUGCCCGAAAGGGUGACGAAGCGACGCCGCGUGGGUGAGGAAGGCCCUCGGGUUGUAAAGCCCUGUCAGGAGUUAAGAAAUGUAGACUCGCUAAUAUCGUGUCUAUUUGACAAAGGCUCCAAAGGAAGCCACGGCUAACUCUGUGCCAGCAGCCGCGGUAAUACAGAGGUGGCAAGCGUUGUUCGGAAUUAUUGGGCGUAAAGAGCACGUAGGUGGAUUUGUAAGUCAGAUGUGAAAGCCUUCUGUUCAACGGGAGAAUUGCAUCUGAAACUACAGACCUUGAGUAUAGGAGGGGAGAAUGGAACUUCUGGUGGAGCGGUGAAAUGCGUAGAUAUCAGAAGGAACGCCGGCGGCGAAAGCGAUUCUCUGGCCUAUUACUGACACUCAGUGUGCGAAAGCUAGGGGAGCAAACGGGAUUAGAUACCCCGGUAGUCCUAGCCGUAAACGAUGGGCACUAAGUAGAGGGGUUUU
rnacentral:rRNA from 1 species